GCCAGCGAGGCUGAGGCCAAUGUUAGGGGACUUUCAUGAGGACUCCCAACUGGGGCUCAGCGUCGUCCAUAAAAGAGUUUUCCAAAGUGAGCAAGGGUUGGAUUUGCAUUUUAGUUCUGUGGACUUCAGCUUUGAGCUGCAGUGUCUUGAAUGACUGACAGCCCGGCCCUGGCCAGGACCGGCUCCUGUUCUCCUCUGAGGGGCUUGUGAGCACCGAGCCCUGCACCUCUCUCAUCACUGCGCCGCCGAGGAGAGGCCACCUUGUCCCCAGGCCCGGCUUGGAUCUGCAGCCUCUUCAGAUUGUGCACCCAAUGGAGCUCCUGCAGCCCAGAUGCACACCACGAGAGUGUUUUCAACCCAAAUCAGCUGUUGUUUGGAGUCCAAUCAGCACACCCUGUGGGAAAGCAGAGCCCACGGUUCUGUGUGUGACGUACAGUGCGGCUGGUCAGCCCUGAGGAAGGGCAGCACAAGGUGCGAGAUGGCUGCCCAGGGUCUGCCAACCCAUGCCCCAGCUCACCAUGCCCACCAAGCUUUUCAGAUGUUCUACAACCACGCCUGUUCAGGAGCUCUCGCUGAGGACAGUGGGCUGGGAAGCUGAGGAGGGGGCCGCCUGCCCUCCUGGAGAUGGGCCGGGCACCCCCGGUCCCCAUUCUGCAGGCCUGCCAGCUGCUUCCUGGGGAGAGUUAGCCUCCACCAAGUGAGUCUGCGUUACCCCGGAGCCUCACACCCCUGUCCACAGAAGGACACGUCCCCUGCUUCAUUUCCUCCAGUCCAGGGCUCAUGCUCGGCCGGGCUCUGAUGUUGAUGAAUACCCAUUCGCAGCCCAAUUAAAAAUGACUGCCAGCGUGCGGCCUUGGGAGACGGAGAGGAGGCUGGCGCAGCCUCGGGCGCUGACAAGCGGAUGUCUUGACGAGCUCCACGUCUGGUGGGGGUCGGCGCGGCCCACGGCUCCCGCAUUUCUGCAGGAGGCCCUGCGGGGAGCAGUGUGUCCUUCCUGACAGGUCUGUGCAGUGCAGCUUCCUCCUCUGAGUCCCGAAUCGGACCUCAGAGGGCUUUCCUGUUCCCCACACAGGGCUUGUCAUCGAGGCCUGAGGCUGUCCUUCAGUCCCCAGCUGCGGGUCUAACUGCGAAGCCUCUGUGCUCUGCAGCUGCCCUUGGCCCUUACUGAGCACCUGCGGGCUGGGCCACCACCCAGACACUGGACAAAAGGAGUGGUCCCUGAGCUCCAGGAGAUGGCCAAAUGCACAGCAUGUCCCUGUGCAGAGCAGGACAUGUGCCCUGUGAGGCCCACACAGAAGAGCCAAGUGCAGGUCCAGGGCGGAAGGGUGAAGGGCUGAGGCCUUUCAGGAGCAGAGGCUCAGCCUUCCUUGGAAGACUGAGCCUGGUUUUCUGUGGAGACUUUUGGGGGGGGAGGAGUAACCCUCGGGUGGGAGGCGGCCAGCGGCCGAGCAGGGGAACAGCUGGAGCAAGCGUUCCUCUGCGUCCAGGCAGCGGCCAGGAUGUGCAGAGUGGAGGGGGAGCUCGGUGGGAGGACCCAGCCACCUGUCAACAGAGCGAGGCCCGUGGUCCCCAGAGUAGAGGAGGGGCCUCUGAGCCCCCCGGCCUGGGCAGGGCGACGGCGGCCAGCGAGGCUCUGCGUGGCAGGCUCCAUCUCCCUCCCUGUGGGUACAGAAAACAGACGCCGCUGUCUUGGCUGACAAGGAGGAGCCUGCUCUGUGGCUUCUGUCACACUGUGACUGUCACUCACCCCCUGCCAUGUGAGGGGCCCUCUCUAUGCAGAGCCUUCCCCCAGGAGGAGUGGGCUGCAUCUCGACGACCGCCAGUCCCAGGUCACAUGUGAAGUCCUGACACUCAGCCUGGAGGCUACUUGUUGGUUCACGGCCCCUGGGGGCCUCCCCGUCCAAGCUCACGGUGUGUCGUGACCACCCUCUCGGGAGCCAGGAGCUGUUUGUGCAAAGAGCUCUCUGUUUCGCGUCGGGACCGUCAGUGAGAAGCCCGUGCUUUGGUUAGCAGAUUGGGGUUUGGGUCUGGGGUCCUUCUUAAGCCCAUUUUCUUCAGACAUCAGCAAACAGGAGCUCUGCUCUCUCGUUAAUGGGCAGUGGACCGGCCCAGCCGCCUGUGGGUGAGAUCCCACCGAGUUGGCCAGAGUCCUCGGUCCUGUCAGGGUGCCUCCUGGGUGCUGCCCUUGUUCUCUGGCCCAAGUGAGGUCAUCUCAACCCAACACUGCUCUGUGCCUCUCUCCAAACCCCGAAAGUUCUCUUCUUCUUUUAGGUGAUACGGGGUGGGGGGGACCCCGGGCUCACACUUGCUAGCCAAGGGCUGUGCCACUGAGCGGACCCCAGCCCUGCUGACAGACCCUGAGCUCCGGUGCAACCUCUGGGCACCCAGGAGGGUUCUGGACCUCCCGCGGGACGGAGCCCAGUCCCCCCUCUGUCAAGAUCUUCUAAGAUCUUCCAUUUCUUCAUUUAUUUCUGAUUUUUAAAAAAACGAGGUGGAAAACUGGUUCAUGGUGUGGUUGACAGAAAGCAGGUUAUCAGUCAUGUUCAGAUAGGCCUCCCCCAGCUCCUUCACUUACGAGAUGCUAUCGCCUAAAUAAGGUCGUCCCUGUUGGGAGAUUAGGUGGGCACUCCAGGUCAGCAGAGGAGGCUGUCUGCAAAC